rnacentral:misc_RNA from 1 species
GAUGAAGAACGUAGCGAAAUGCGAUAAGUAAUGUGAAUUGCAGAAUUCAGUGAAUCAUCGAAUCUUUGAACGCACAUUGCGCCCCCUGGUAUUCCGGGGGGCAUGCCUGUCCGAGCGUCAUUACAACCCUCAAGCUCAGCUUGGUAUUGGGCCCCGCCGCUUCGGCGGGCCCUAAAGUCAGUGGCGGUGCCGUCCGGCUCCGAGCGUAGUAAUUCUUCUCGCUCUGGAGGCCCGGUCGUGUGCUUGCCAGCAACCCCCAAUUUUUUUCAGGUUGACCUCGGAUCAGGUAGGGAUACCCGCUGAACUUAAGCAUAUCAUAAGCGGAGGA